rnacentral:misc_RNA from 1 species
GCAAACUUGGUCAUUUAGAGGAAGUAAAAGUCGUAACAAGGUUUCUGUAGGUGAACCUGCAGAAGGAUCAUUAGUGAAGUUUUUAGGGCCUGAGCCAUACAGACCGCAAGGUCUCUGGCCGCCCGACACACUAUAUAUCCUACCAACCCGUGUGCACCGCAAGGAGGACAGAGACAUAUACAGUGUCUGCCUCCGUCUCUACACAAACUCGUAUGGUUGUAUGAACGUAUGAAGCCGUUGGACCGUCACUGGCCAACAAACUUAUACACAACUUUCGACAACGGAUCUCUUGGUUCUCCCAUCGAUGAAGAACGCAGC